GUUAAGUUUUUAUACGACCGCAAAAAAUUUUUGCGGUCGUAUAUUGGUAUGACGUUGGCGUUGGCGUCGUCGUCGUCGUCUGGCGUCGUCCGGCGUCGUCCGAAGACACAUUAGUUUUCGCACUCUAACUUUAGUUUAAGUGAAUGGAUCUCUAUGAAAUUUUACCAUAAGGUUCAAUACCACAAAAGGAAGGUGGGGAUUGAUUUUGGGGGUUAUGGUACCAACAGUUAAGCAAAAAGGGGCCAAAAAUAAGCAUUUUUGUAACUUCCAGACAUAACUUGUGUGUUAGUGUAUGAAUCUCUCUGACAUUGUACCACAAGGUUCCAUAUCACACAGGGAAUGCUGGGACUGAUUUUGGGGGUAAUUGCCUCAAAAUAUUAGGAAUUACUUAGGGGCCAAAAAAGGGGCAAAAAACAAGCAUUUUUCUAGUUUCAUGACAAUAACUUGUGUGUAAGUGUAUGGAUCUUUCUGAAAUUGUACUACAAGGUUCCAUAUCACAAAGGGAAAGCUGGAAUUGAGUUUGGGGGUAAUUGCCCAAAACGUUAAGGAAUAAGGGGCCAAAAAGGGGCCAAAAAUAAGCAUUUUUCUAGUUUCCAGACAAUAACUUGUGUUCAAGUGUAUGGAUCUUUCUGAAAUUGUACAACAAGGUUCCAUAUCACAAAGGGAAAGCUGGAAUUGAGUUUGGGGGUAAUUGCCCAAAACGUUAAGGAAUAAGGGGCCAAAAAGGGUGCAAAAAUAAGCAUUUUUCUAGUUUCCAGACAAUAACUUGUAUGUAAGUGUAUGGAUCUCUCUGAAAUUGUACUGCAAGGUACCAUACCACAAAGGGAAGGCUGGGAUUGAUUUUGGGGGUAAUUGCCUAAUCUAACCGUGUAUUUAGAUUCUUUAUUUUUGGUCCCGUUUUCAAAUUGGUCUACAUUAAGGUCCAAAGGGUCCAAAAUUAAAUUUAGUUUGAUUUUAACAAAAAUUGAAUUCUUGGGGUUCUUUGAUAUGCUGAAUCUAAACAUGCACUUAGUUUUUUGAUUAUGGGCCCAGUAUUCAAGUUGGUCCAAAUCGGGGUCCAAAAUUAAACUUUGUUUGAUUUCAACAAAAAUUGAAUAUAUGGGGUUCUUCGAUAUGCUGAAUCUAACCAUGUAUUUAGAUUUUUGAUAUUUGGGCCCGGUUAUCAAAUUGGUCCACAUUGAGGUUUAAAGGGUCCAAAAUUGAACUUUAUUUGAUUUCAUCAAAAAUUGAAUUCUUGGGGUUCUUUGAUAUGCUGAAUCUAACCAUGUAUUUAGAUUUUGGAUAUUGGAAUACCACAAAGGGAUGGUAAGAAUUGUCUUUGGGAGUUAUGGCUCAAACCGUUAAGGAAUAAGGUGCAAAAAAGGGGGGGAAAAGGGUUUCCAGGUUAAUGGACAAUUACUUAAGUACAAAACAUAAUUUUAAAGGCAGUGUAAGGUUGGUAAUUGAAACUCAUUUGAAUAUCUCACCUAAACUGCUUUUAAGUUAUGUAUAUUGGAAAUUUGCCAAAAACUUUAUUAUUAAUAAAUUCCAUUGGAAAUUUGCCAAUAACUUUAGUUUAAUGAACUUCAUUGGAAAUUUGCCAAUAUAAAAUGUUGCUGAUGAAGCGUUUUUGUUUAUCUCACCUAAACUGCUUUUAAAUUAUGUAUAUUGGAAAUUUGCCAAAAACUUUAUUGUUAAUAAAUUCCAUUGGAAAUUUGCUAAUAACUUUAGUUUAAUAAACUUCAUUGCAUUU